CCUAAAGAUGUACAUGUCCUAAUCCUGAAAACCUAUUAUGUGGCAAAAGGGACUUUGCAGAAAUGAUGAAAUUAAGAAUCUAGAGAUGAGAAUAUUCUCCUGGAUUAAAUAUGAGUUCUCUAAAAGUAAGUGGUUCUUAUAAGAAGGACCCAGGAAUGUUCAGUCACAGAAGAUGUGAUAACAAUCAAAGCAGAGGGAAAACAGAGGAAGGAAGAACCAGAAGCUGUGCUCCUGACUUUGAAAAUGGAGGAAGGAACCGGUGUCUUAGGAAUGAAGGCAAUCUCUAAAAGUUGGAAAGGAAAUGGAGAACCCUGGUUAUAAUCACUUUGAAUAAGUGUUCAGGAGAAAGGCCAAUGAAGGUAACCAGAAGAAGGCUGUCGGCUGUCACCCUGGAGGAGCUCACUGGGGAGGAAGGAGGGCGUCCUGAGGAGUCAGAGCCUCUAGAAAAGA